GCUAACGGCAGGUACUGGGGAAGACUCCCUAAUGGCAGGUAAGCACGGGAAGACUCGUGAAGAUUUUUCAACAUGUUGAAAAAUGUCCACGAGAGCCCCGAGUACCGACGAGUGGCCAUUACCGUAAAUCUCCGUGUUCGAAUCAGGGCAAACUCGGAAGAACUCUUGGAAUGAACUCGUACCAUGGGACAGGGCCAUUAAAGAGAGCCAAUCUUGGAGGGUUUGGAGGAUCUUGUGGAGAAGGGCUUUGUGAGGACAAUGAUUAAUUGCCUGAGGAGUAGGUGGAAACUCUUCCUUCCUGGAUUGUCCAGUUUCUCUAUUCCCUUGAUGUAGUCUGGGACCCAGUUAUCAGGUUAAAUUACUUUGAGAAUCUAAGGCAACAUACUCAUAAAUAUAUGAAAGUGGUGAAUCCAAUACAGAUCCUGCCAAACACAUUGCUGUUAAACUAGGUGUAGGCAGAUACUUUGGGUGCUUCUCUUUUUUGUAUCAACUGGAAACCUGUUACAAUCAGUACCAGUGUCCCUAUCAGUUUGAGGUCUGCAUUGAAGUUCUAAAGCACAAUAUUAUUGUGAGAAGACUUUUCCCAACUAAUUGUCCAGUGGGAUUAAUCAAAAAAUUUAUGCGGCCCUAAAAAUCACCCUUUAUCCUCCUGUGCUCCAUGGAAUAAAGUCAUAGCCUGAACAAACUUUCGCAAUGGCUUAGGUCCUCGAGUUCGGGUAAUCUAUACAAGUAAAAGUUUAAACUUGACCACUUCCUGUUUGCAUUGUAUAUUAAUUUUAGAAAAAACGCGACCACUUACAGCCAUGAUUUUUGGCCACCUUACUCAGAGUCCCCCUCCAGCUGUCAGGACCAGAGAAUUAUUCCCAUCGAUGAAAAAUAAAAUACAUUUUAAUGUUUAAAAAAUGUUGAGAUUCUCUCUCCUGUCAAUCAUGCCAUGAAGGCCACGCCCCUUCCGGUGGGAGUGGAGAGGAACUAUAAAACCCGGAUGUGUGGGCGUGGCUCAGUCUCUGCAAUAUGGGCGAGGGAGAGUGUCGCAACUGAGCUGGAUAUCUACAGAACUGAGAAUACUGACCUUGGACGCAGUAGAUGAGGUUGGAGGACGUGCAAGUGAACCUCUGCCUCACCUGAAAAGGACUGUUGGGGUCCCUGGACAGAGUCGAGGGACCAUGUUAUAUUCAAGAAGGAACUGCAGAUGCUGGAAAAUCGAAGGUAGACAAAAGUGUUGGAGAAACUCAGGGGGUGAGGCAGCAUCUAUGGAGCGAAGGAAAUAGGCAACAUUUUGGGCUGACCUUCUUCAGACUCUUCGAACCAUGUUAUGUUUUGUGCAUGUACAUCUUUGACAAAAGAAAAUAAAAGGCUGCAUAGAAACAGG